rnacentral:rRNA from 1 species
GAAUUUUCCGCAAUGGGCGAAAGCCUGACGGAGCGACGCCGCGUGAUUGAUGACGCUUUUCGGAGUGUAAAAAUCUUUUAUAUGGGAAGAAGUUUAUUGACGGUACCAUAUGAAUAAGGGGCUCCUAAACUCGUGCCAGCAGGAGCGGUAAUACGAGUGCCCCAAGCGUUACCCGGAUUCACUGGGCGUAAAGGGUACGUAGGCGGCGUAGUUAGUCGAAUGUUAAAGCACCGGGCUCAACCCGGGACAGGCAUUCGAAACGGCUACGCUAGAGGAUGUGAGAGGUAAGUGGAACUCAUGGUGUAGGGGUGAAAUCCGUUGAUAUCAUGGGGAACACCAAAAGCGAAGGCAACUUACUGGCGCAUUCCUGACGCUGAGGUACGAAAGCGUGGGUAGCGAAUGGGAUUAGAUACCCCAGUAGUC